rnacentral:misc_RNA from 1 species
AAAAUGCGAUACGUAAUGCGAAUUGCAGAAUUCAGUGAAUCAUCAAAUCUUUGAACGCAAAUUGCGCUCUCGGGAUAGGCCUGGGAGCACGCCUCUUUGAGUAUCGUUUCAACCACAACUCGAAAGCGUGCUUUAUUGCAUCGCUGACGGAGAAUGAGCGCUCUCGUUUCUUCGAGACGCUUGAAAUUGAGCGAGUGACCUGACAUCUGUCUAAUGAUGGCUGCUUUGUCCGUGGUGACGAGGAUAACUUCACAUUCAGUUGUGAACCUUUCCAUCGUGACCUGCUGGCUGAGUGCCAUUGCGGGCAGUGUCUACCGGUCGCGGCCUGUCUGCGCAUCAUCUGCUACGAUGGUCGCAGAACUAUUCUUUGAACUAGAUCUCAAAUGAAGCGAGAAAACCC